rnacentral:lncRNA from 1 species
CCACACCACCCUGGACACCCCUGAGCGCAUCUUCUACUACAUGACUGGGGGGUCUUGUUUCACGUGUACCAACACAUUGAGCCCUUCAGUCAUCAUAUCUUCUCACCAGCCGAGCCAGGGAAGAGAGGGCCUGUCUUCUAGAAGUUUCCAUCUUGUUUCUUAGCCCCAACCACAAAGAGACCGGUUUCCAGUAUUCCACCCCAGGACCCCAGCUCUCCACAACCUGACCUGACAACAUGGAAGAGUGUCGAUUGGAAGGGGUGUAAGAUCCAUCAUCAACACAGCAGGGAAGAUUGGCAGUGGGCAGACAUGGACACUGGAGCUGAGAGCUCACAGCUUAAACCACAGGCAGGAAACAGAGAGCUCAGUGGGAAUGGAUCAAGGCUUUUGAAACCUUAAAGCUGGCCUUCAGUGACAUUCUUCCUCCAGCAAGGACAAACCUCUCCAAAUCUACCAGAACAUCUCUUCCGACUAGGGACCACACGUUCAAAUACUGAACCCAUGGAGGGCGUUCUCCGUCAAACCACCACAGGGAGUGCCCCUGUUGAUACUGUGUGAAUUGUUCAUCCUAUGGAAACUUUGGGGUCUCUAUCACGGCAAAUGAAAUGAUUAAAAUUUUUUCCAAAAGUCUGUCUGCCUGGGAUCUACUGGGAUAUAUGCGUCUCUGGUAUUCGGGGCCUUUACAAACUGAGGCAUUGGAACAUCAAUGAUGAGAACACUGCUCCUCAUAAAUACGUGAUACAAAAUGGCAGAGGUAUGGCUAAGCCAUUCCAGAAAUUGAUAGAAAUUCUGUUCAAAAGUCCAAAGGUAAAAUUCACUUACUGAUUUUUAGGCAAAUUCAAGUCAACAACUCAAACAGCAGUUAAAAAAAAUUAUUACACAGCUC